rnacentral:lncRNA from 1 species
GGAGAAGGUAACAUCUGUGCAGACAAGAAACAUGGAAACGAAGUACAUAGUGACUAUUACCACAGAAGGACCUUCUCAUAUCACUUGCAUCUGCCCCUAUAGGCCUUGCCGACAACCGACGGGCACAGAGGAAGGGCUGCGCAAGCGGUGCGCCCGGCACCGUCGACCACGCUUUGCCGCGGCCAUCCCCGCCCGGCACGGCCCGGCCCGGCCCGGCAGGAGCCCAGUGGGAGGCAGCCUGGGGUCUGCAACCGGUUUGAAAAAGGAGAGGACAUGGCAGGUAGAGGGUCUGCUGAAGAUAAGCUCUGAUGGCAGCCAAUCUAAAGGGGAAGAGACAGACAAAAUCAGUGAUGAAGAGGUAACGGCCUCAGCGCUUAAGCAAAGCUUUUAAUGGUCCCACAAGACCUGCAGACUGCCUGGUCCAAUGACUAAGGGCUAAGAGCCAAGCCUUCAACAUGGAGAUCCUGGAUCUGUGGCACACCAGGCUACAUCAACUCUGACGAGGUCAUCUGGAUCACAUGAAUGCUUCAAGUCAAGCAACUGAAAAAAAUUUAUUAUGUUUUUCUUUCUCUUUUUUUUUUCCCCCUUUUUUGUUCUUCAUGUGAAUCCCCAGUGGAAGAAAUCCACCGAACAAGCAUGUUGAUUUUGGCAAAGGCACACACAGUCACUCUGUUCUAAAGAUGAGCUGACACGUGCAGAUUCACAGAUUAGCCAUUUCUAAAGGUUAAUUAAAUAUUGCCAUUGUUUUCCAAGC